rnacentral:rRNA from 1 species
AGUGAACGCUGGCGGUAGGCCUAACACAUGCAAGUCGAACGGCAGCACAGUAAGAGCUUGCUCUUACGGGUGGCGAGUGGCGGACGGGUGAGGAAUACAUCGGAAUCUACUUUUUCGUGGGGGAUAACGUAGGGAAACUUACGCUAAUACCGCAUACGACCUACGGGUGAAAGCAGGGGAUCUUCGGACCUUUCGCGAUUGAAUGAGCUGAUGUCGGAUUAGCUAGUUGGCGGGGUAAAGGCCCACCAAGGCGACGAUCCGUAGCUGGUCUGAGAGGAUGAUCAGCCACACUGGAACUGAGACACGGUCCAGACUCCUACGGGAGGCAGCAGUGGGGAAUAUUGGACAAUGGGCGCAAGCCUGAUCCAGCCAUACCGCGUGGGUGAAGAAGGCCUUCGGGUUGUAAAGCCCUUUUGUUGGGAAAGAAAAGCAGCAGGUUAAUACCCCGCUGUUCUGACGGUACCCAAAGAAUAAGCACCGGCUAACUUCGUG